AAAAACUAGUUAAUAUAUAUAACAAAAGAAUGUCAUUCUUUUAUUACCAAAAAAAGGUGUUUUUU
rnacentral:tRNA from 1 species